AUAAGAUCUCCCCAAAUGACUCAGACAAUGAGUCAUCAAUAUUGGGAGACAUGGCAGGUGAGUUUAUGGCUCUUCCAACAUGAAAUACCUGGCAGUUCCAAAGGAACAAACUAACCACAGCUGUAAUCUACCAUGAUCUGGAGCAUAUUCACUGAUCACAGCUGUGUAAUUUCAGGUAACAUACUUCUGUUGUUUAGUUUUGUUUAACAUUGUUAAAUAUAUAGUCAGACCAUCUGCACAGUAUUUUUUUAAAUUGGAAAUUACAGCCAUAACUUCCUUUUUAUAUAUCAAUAAACUAAACAGCAAAAUUUCAAAGGGAUCCUUCUCCACCAAACUCUGAGGCAGAAUGUUUGUCCCACGCCACACCAUUGCCUAAUUGCACACUAAUUGGACAAACGUGAUUAAAUAUUUCAAGAUCUUUCCUAAUUGCCUCUAUUUUAGCUUUCAAAUUUGCUUGCCACCAACAAAUUUAAUGACACUGGUGUCUAGUCAUCAGCAAAAAGCCCAAGAGUUGCUCUUUAAAAUGUACAUAGUCAGAAUAUUUACUGAUUGUGCAUUGUUGUUUCCAAUGUAGCUUAAUUAGAAAUCCAAUCAGUUCUCUAAGUCCAAUUAUACUUGAUUUGUAGAUUCAGAGUAUGAUACAUAAUGAAGCUAAGCAGCUAACGAUAAACGUGCUUGAAAUGAAACAAAAAAGAGAAAUAUUUUAAUGUGUCUCUUGUUGUUUUAGAAACUUGAAGUAAUAUAUGAUGAAAGUGAAACACAUCAGGAUAUACUGAAAUUUAUGACUCAACGAGAUAUUUUUGGCAAAACCUGUUUCCAUUGUUUGAUUAAUGAACAAAGAAAUUAUGUGGGCCUGCUGCUGUAAAAUCUUUUUACUUGAUAAGACAUGAAGAACAACAAUAUAUUUCCUGAAUAGUUAAGACAUUAAAU